rnacentral:rRNA from 1 species
GGGGUACUCGAGCGGCGAACGGGUGAGUAACACGUGAGCAACCUGCCCCUGGCUCUGGGAUAGCCUCCGGAAACGGGGAUUAAUACCGGACAUUCACUUCCUUCCGCAUGGUGGGUGGUGGAAAGUUUUUUCGGCCGGGGAGGGGCUCGCGGCCUAUCAGCUUGUUGGCGGGGUAACGGCCCACCAAGGCGACGACGGGUAGCCGGCCUGAGAGGGCGACCGGCCACACUGGGACUGAGACACGGCCCAGACUCCUACGGGAGGCAGCAGUGGGGAAUAUUGCGCAAUGGGCGGAAGCCUGACGCAGCGACGCCGCGUGGGGGAUGAAGGCCUUCGGGUCGUAAACCUCUUUCACCAGGAGCGAAUCCAGACGGUACCUGGGGAAGAAGCGCCGGCUAACUACGUGCCAGCAGCCGCGGUAAU